rnacentral:rRNA from 1 species
GACGAACGCUGGCGGCGUGCUUAACACAUGCAAGUCGAACGGGUCUGCCCUGUUUUUUGCGGGGUGGGUCAGUGGCGAACGGGUGAGUAACACGUGAGUAACCUGCCCCUCACUUCUGGAUAACCGCUUGAAAGGGUGGCUAAUACGGGGUGUUCUGGCUGUGCCGCAUGGUGUGGCUGGGAAGGAUUCACUUUUGUGGUGUUUUGGUGGGGGAUGGGCUCGCGGCCUAUCAGCUUGUUGGUGGGGUGAUGGCCUGCCAAGGCUUUGACGGGUAGCCGGCCUGAGAGGGUGGGCGGUCACACUGGGACUGAGAUACGGCCCAGACUCCUGCGGGAGGCAGCAGUGGGGGGUAUUGCACAAUGGGCGGAAGCCUGAUGCAGCGACGUCGCGUGAGGGAUGGAGGCCUUCGGGUUGUGAACCUCUUUCGCCGGUGAAGAAGGUCCUGCUCUUUGUGGUGGGGUUGACGGUAGCCGGGUUAUGAAGCGCCGGCUAACUACGUG